UACGUAGGUGGCAAGCGUUGUCCGGAUUUAUUGGGCGUAAAGCGAGCGCAGGCGGAAAGAUAAGUCUGAUGUGAAAGCCCACGGCUUAACCGUGGAGGGUCAUUGGAAACUGGUUGACUUGAGUGCAGAAGAGGGAAGUGGAAUUCCAUGUGUAGCGGUGAAAUGCGUAGAGAUAUGGAGGAACACCAGUGGCGAAGGCGGCUUCCUGGUCUGCAACUGACACUGAGGCGCGAAAGCGUGGGGAGCAAACAGG
rnacentral:rRNA from 1 species